UACAGAGGGUGCGAGCGUUGUCCGGAAUCACUGGGCGUAAAGGGCGCGUAGGUGGCGCUCCAAGUCUGUGGUGAAAGCUCGACGCUCAACGUCGAGUCGGCCAUAGAGACUGGAGGGCUCGAGCACUGUAGGGGCAGAUGGAAUUCCACGUGUAGCGGUGAAAUGCGUAGAGAUGUGGAGGAACACCGAUGGCGAAGGCAGCCCUUCUGGGCCAACACUGACGCUCAGUGCACGAAAGCGUGGGGAGCAAACAGGA
rnacentral:rRNA from 1 species